UACGUAGGGUGCGAGCGUUAAUCGGAAUUACUGGGCGUAAAGCGUGCGUAGGCGGCCAUGCAAGUCAGAUGUGAAAGCCCCGGGCUUAACCCGGGAACGGCGUUUGAAACUGUAUGGCUUGAGUUCGGCAGGGGAAGAUGGAAUUUCGUGUGUAGCGGUGAAAUGCGUAGAUAUACGAAAGAACACUAAUAGCGAAGGCAUUCUUCUGGGACGAUACUGACGCUGAGUCACCAAAGCGUGGGGAGCAAACAGG
rnacentral:rRNA from 1 species